rnacentral:rRNA from 1 species
GAUGAACGCUGGCGGCGUGCCUAAUACAUGCAAGUCGAGCGAACGGACGAGAAGCUUGCUUUUCUGAUGUUAGCGGCGGACGGGUGAGUAACACGUGGAUAACCUACCUAUAAGACUGGGAUAACUUCGGGAAACCGGAGCUAAUACCGGAUAAUAUUUUGAACCGCAUGGUUCAAAAGUGAAAGACGGUCUUGCUGUCACUUAUAGAUGGAUCCGCGCUGCAUUAGCUAGUUGGUAAGGUAACGGCUUACCAAGGCAACGAUGCAUAGCCGACCUGAGAGGGUGAUCGGCCACACUGGAACUGAGACACGGUCCAGACUCCUACGGGAGGCAGCAGUAGGGAAUCUUCCGCAAUGGGCGAAAGCCUGACGGAGCAACGCCGCGUGAGUGAUGAAGGUCUUCGGAUCGUAAAACUCUGUUAUUAGGGAAGAACAUAUGUGUAAGUAACUGUGCACAUCUUGACGGUACCUAAUCAGAAAGCCACGGCUAACUACGUGCCAGCAGCCGCGGUAAUACGUAGGUGGCAAGCGUUAUCCGGAAUUAUUGGGCGUUAAGCGCGCGUAGGCGGUUUUUUAGUCUGAUGUGAAAGCCCACGGCUCAACCGUGGAGGGUCAUUGGAAACUGGAAAACUUGAGUGCAGAAGAGGAAAGUGGAAUUCCAUGUGUAGCGGUGAAAUGCGCAGAGAUAUGGAGGAACACCAGUGGCGAAGGCGACUUUCUGGUCUGUAACUGACGCUGAUGUGCGAAAGCGUGGGGAUCAAACAGGAUUAGAUACCCUGGUAGUCCACGCCGUAAACGAUGAGUGCUAAGUGUUAGGGGGUUUCCGCCCCUUAGUGCUGCAGCUAACGCAUUAAGCACUCCGCCUGGGGAGUACGACCGCAAGGUUGAAACUCAAAGGAAUUGACGGGGACCCGCACAAGCGGUGGAGCAUGUGGUUUAAUUCGAAGCAACGCGAAGAACCUUACCAAAUCUUGACAUCCUUUGACAACUCUAGAGAUAGAGCCUUCCCCUUCGGGGGACAAAGUGACAGGUGGUGCAUGGUUGUCGUCAGCUCGUGUCGUGAGAUGUUGGGUUAAGUCCCGCAACGAGCGCAACCCUUAAGCUUAGUUGCCAUCAUUAAGUUGGGCACUCUAAGUUGACUGCCGGUGACAAACCGGAGGAAGGUGGGGAUGACGUCAAAUCAUCAUGCCCCUUAUGAUUUGGGCUACACACGUGCUACAAUGGACAAUACAAAGGGCAGCGAAACCGCGAGGUCAAGCAAAUCCCAUAAAGUUGUUCUCAGUUCGGAUUGUAGUCUGCAACUCGACUACAUGAAGCUGGAAUCGCUAGUAAUCGUAGAUCAGCAUGCUACGGUGAAUACGUUCCCGGGUCU